CUAGUAUAAAGUGAGGUGAUAUAUUGAUGUGUAGUUGUGUUUGAAACAAUGUGAGUUUAGGUAUAUCCCACAUUUUUUCAGUCAACUACAGAGCUAUUAACCCUUUUCUACCUUACAUAAUCACUCUUGAAUCUGUCAACAUUCUAAUUUGUUAAUUAGUCUUCCUGUACUUCAACAUUGUAUGACUGUGGGUGCUGUAACAUAUUUUGGGGCUACAUAAAUAAUAAUAAUAAUAAUAAAUGGUUCACCUUUAGAGGUGUUAUCUUACUAAUUACUGCCUUUACUCCAAAAUCCAGCAUAAUAAAUAUUACCCAAACCCCCAUAAUCUAUAAUAGUCACAUCCUAUUAUCUAAAUAAAUUGGCUAUU